UACGUAGGGUGCGAGCGUUGUCCGGAAUUAUUGGGCGUAAAGAGCUCGUAGGCGGCUUGUCGCGUCGGAUGUGAAAGCCCGGGGCUCAACUCUGGGCGUGCGGUCGAUACGGGCAUCACUUGAGUUCGGCAGGGGAGACUGGAAUUCCUGGUGUAGCGGUGAAAUGCGCAGAUAUCAGGAGGAACACCGGUGGCGAAGGCGGGUCUCUGGGCCGAUACUGACGCUGAGGAGCGAAAGCAUGGGUAGCGAACAGG
rnacentral:rRNA from 1 species